AUUGAACGCUGGCGGCAGGCCUAACACAUGCAAGUCGAGCGGAUGAAGGGAGCUUGCUCCUGGAUUCAGCGGCGGACGGGUGAGUAAUGCCUAGGAAUCUGCCCGGUAGUGGGGGGUAACGUCCGGAAACGGGCGCUAAUACCGCAUACGUCCUGAGGGAGAAAGUGGGGGAUCUUCGGACCUCACGCUAUCAGAUGAGCCUAGGUCGGAUUAGCUAGUUGGUGGGGUAAAGGCCUACCAAGGCGACGAUCCGUAACUGGUCUGAGAGGAUGAUCAGUCACACUGGAACUGAGACACGGUCCAGACUCCUACGGGAGGCAGCAGUGGGGAAUAUUGGACAAUGGGCGAAAGCCUGAUCCAGCCAUGCCGCGUGUGUGAAGAAGGUCUUCGGAUUGUAAAGCACUUUAAGUUGGGAGGAAGGGCAGUAAGUUAAUACCUUGCUGUUUUGACGUUACCAACAGAAUAAGCACCGGCUAACUUCGUG
rnacentral:rRNA from 1 species